CGGGAUUAUUGAGGGGGUCAUUCUUGUGCAUGUGUGAACAUCUAAGCAGGAUUAUUGAGAGGGGUCAUUCUUGUGCAUGUGUGAACAUCUAAGCGGGAUUAUUGAGAGGGGUCAUUCUUGUGCAUGUGUGAACAUCUAAGCAGGAUUAUUGAGGGGGUCAUUCUUGUGCAUGUGUGAACAUCUAAGCGGGGUUAUUGAGAGGGGUCAUUCUUGUGCAUGUGUGAACAUCUAAGCGGGAUUAUUGAGAGGGGUCAUUCUUGUGCAUGUGUGAAAAUCUAAGCGGGAUUAUUGAGGGGGUCAUUCUUGUGCAUGUGUGAAAAUCUAAGCGGGAUUAUUGAGGGGGUCAUUCUUGUGCAUGUGUGAAGAGACAGUAACUAAUUUGGAUACUUCCAUUCUGGGAAGACCAAAAGAAACUGAGAGUCAGAUUACUGGGUGCUCAUGGCAAUGAGCCAGGUUAGAGGUGGAGAAACAGGCAUGACUAAUGGGGAGGCCAGCUAGGGGCCCUAAGUACGCCUGUUUGGUUGUUAGUCCUGUCUGCCACAUUCUGUGAACAAGUUACUUAACACCUUGGGUCUUGGUGCCAUCAUCUCUAGAAUGGGGACAUAUUAACAAUCUCCAUCUCAUGGGUUGUCAUGAAGACCAGGUGAAUUAAAAUACAGAAGUGUUUGGAAUGGGAUAUGGUAAGUGCUCAAUAAAUUUCAACUACUAUUUCUACUUAGA